GCAGCUGUGUCUUCUCAUGCCUGGCAGAGUCCCCUGAGCAGGGACCUUUGUGUGGUCUCAGCAGGUGCUUCCUCCAAGGGCUCUAAAAAGAAGGAAAGCAGCCUCCAUCAUCCGCAGCCUGAGGUGUGAGGUGAACUCUAGCACCAGGGUGUAGGGAGGGGCUGAGCAGUCACUGGAUGGACACAGAUUUACAUGAACAGCCCCUCCUCUGGCAGAGGGUGAAGAAGAAAAGGGGGCCUGGGGCAGCCCAGCCCCACUGUGGGUCAGGGCUGUGUGCACAUGGCCUGGAUCUCUGUCCUCCUCAUGUUCCUCUUUCACUGCACAGGUUCCCUCUCCCAGCCUGUGCUAACUCAGCCACCCUCCCUCUCUGCAUCUCUGGGAGCAUCAGCCAGACUCACCUGCACCCUGAGCAGUGGCUUCAGUGUUGGUGGCUACAGGAUGUACUGGUACCAGCAGAAGCCAGGGAGCUUAACUAAGAGCCUGUGAGAUUAUUGUUAAUAAGAUUUUAAAUACAUAUCUCAAAAAUCCACCAUGUGAUCAGUGAAACAAUAUUUAACACCUAAACCUCAAAUCCCACUAAGGACCAUGGAGG